rnacentral:rRNA from 1 species
AUGGGUAUGCAGGCUCUGAUGGAUGUUCGGUGCAAGAAUCUAGUGAACCCUGUAUGCGACUGGCUUGGUGAGAUUUACGACCCCGCCUCCAGGGAAUUUGUGAUUCCAGGACGUGGAAGAUUGCCGUUGGACGAGGAAUCCGUGUUCUGCACUUUGGGUGUGCCCCGUGGAAAAAUCAAAGUCCCGUAUGAGGCGAAACUGAAUGAUGUGAAGAACAUGAAUUGGUGAGGCCCGCCGCCUACACUUGUUUCUGCCUGGACUUACGAUGUUGUCAAGCCUGUGGUUGCUGCAGACAGGGUAACUGAUACGAAAUAUGGGAAACUGCAGCUGAUGGCCAAGCAUGCUAUAGACCACAAUGUGUUUGAUGGGCCUCAAAACUUUGGAAAGUGGAUGGACGUGCACUCAGCUCUGUCUUGUCCUACUGAGGCGAGGGCACCUGUUGAGCAUCUAAUUGGGCAGUUUGCAUCCGGAAUGACCAGCUUGCUCGGGAAGUUGGUUGAGGGUUGGACGUCCCUUAAUGGCUCUGACAGCGAUGCAGUUGUGAGGCAGUUCACUACAUUUGUUGCAAAACGGACACAUUGGCCAACCGGUUGCCGUGGCCGGUACGACUACAACAGUUCCCAGGAGCUUCCUGACACACAAGAUGAACUAGAUGAAGAUGCUGCUCUAGACAAGGACGAUGAUGAUGACAUGGAGAAUGUGCAACACAACAUCGACGAUGAUGAACAUGUUGAAGUUUGUGCAAGUGGUAAGAAGGGCAAGGCUGCACCAGAUGUCCCCUCACCGGAGAAAGUCAAAGAACAUACAGCUGUGAGAGGCAAGGGGGUGUCGCCCUCAAAGAGGGGGAGGGCUCCAGAGGAUGUUGGGCAGGGCUCUCCUGGCAAGAGUGAGGCGACAGCUGGUGAACGAGCAGUUACGAAGAAACAAGCACCAACGCCAACCCGUGUUUCUGCUCAAUUGAACAAGGGUGCCCCCAUUAUUGGUGACACCCCUUACACCAGGUCAUCUCCUCGUACGACGACGUCCAACACCGAGGAUCCUGUCGUGUUGCCAGACUUGAGGAAGACAAUCAAGAAGGUGAAGACUACUAUACGCGUGACCAAGCAGGUCAUUAGAGACCCACUCGAACACCUUCAUUCAAAGCUGUCGAAAGGUGGUAACUCAGAUGUUCAUGAGGCGCCAGUCGACAAAACUAUUGUUGCACCGUCAGCUGUUCCCACUAGCUCUGACGCAAGCGGCCGACCAUCUCCGUCGGUUGCAGAUGUGCAGGCUACAACAACAGGCAUCCGUACAUCUGGAAGUGACGAGUCGGUAUUUGUCAGGACUGCUGAAAUAUUGCCCACUCUGCUGGCAAUGAAGGAUGCUGCUAUGAGCCAUGCCACCCGAUCAACAAGUGUUGAAGUGGACGCCCCCGAGAUCAACCUAAGCAAGGAAGAUUCCUGCUCAUCUGACACGGAUUCCAAGCACGUGGGUGGUGGCACUUCUGUGUCCACGACAAAAGUGGCUAAGGCGACAGUUCAUAAUGAUAUGCCAUCCAUAGGUGAGUGUCUUGGCAUAACAACUCCAGCUUCUGGUGGUCUAGAGGUUGCUAAGGCGACUGUUUCGGGAGCUGACCUGCCACCUAGGCGUCAUAGCCCCUGCAAGCAAUCAGCACACAUACCCAAUGCACCGACUGUAGCUAGGAGCAGCAGAGAUGACUCUGGUUAUGUGCCUGCGUCCACACUAUUCCCACCACCUUCCAAAAGCAAUGUUAUGGAGAAAACGGAAGACCGGAGUACAACUGACCCAGGUGGCAAGCCGGGCACGACUGACGGAGGUGAACGUCCAGAGCAGACUCCGUCUUUACCUGCCGUGGAGAACCCCAGCUUAAAUCUGCGCACUUCUAAGCUCCCAGUCAACGUUGGUGUCCCCUACGGCCCAAACAAGAAGAUUGUCAAGAAAGUUGCGACUGAUACUGCUGACAACACGCCCCGCCCUAUGAAUAAGCCUGAUGAUUCUGCAGCGGCCGAUUCAGAAAUGUUUGUUGAUCUUUCACCCUUGGAUUCUGCCCAACAAGUUGUCCGCGGUCCGGCCAGUAGGCAGGAGAGGCGCCCAAUGGCCUUCACCCCACCGAGCUUUAGUCUUGGCAUCAGUCAAGAUCAACCAGUGGUGCAAGAUCCUACGCCAGUUGCCUUUGCUUUUCCGACAGGCAUGGCCGCAAUGAUGGCGCAACCAAUGGUCGAGGGCAGGAAGGCUGUCAAGUUCGCAGAGCCGAUUGUGCAAGCCACCCUUGAGGAGAUUACGCCGUCACUUGAUGAAGCUUACCGCAGGAUUGAGAAGGCAACAUUGCAGAGGAGCUCAUGUUUGGACAGAACCAAGAUCAUACAAUGUGAUGCGACGUACGUCGACCUGGGUGAUCUUGCCGAGUCUGUGAGGCCACUCGGUAAAAUGUCGAAGAAUGUAGUUGCAUAUGGAAUUGACUUCAUCAACAAACAUAUGGAUAUGUCUCCCGGCAAAACAAUCAUGCAAUAUAGUGUGACCUGCAAAAUAUGGGAUGGUGACUUUCACCACAAAAUCCCGAGGAAGCAUUUUGCUGCGCAUGGUGAUUUCAAGCUCACAAUGAAGAAAUGCGUCUUGUUCCCCAUGUUCCAGGAGCUUGCACCACACGACCCACAUGACAAGUCUGGUCACCACUACGCGAUCUGCCUUGAUCUGCAAAACCAACAUUUUGAGGUGUUUGAUUCAAUGCAUUCGGAAGCUGAUGCAGACCUUACUACGCAUGCUGAAUACUUCAUCAAUAACCUCAAGGAGACAUGGAACCGUCACUACAAAAACUCAAAGGUCCAGAUCAGACAUUUUUCAAUUGAGACCAGUAUUCCCAUCUUUUCUUCUUGUGUCCUCUACACCAAUGCUAACUCUCUUGUCACCUCUGAAUUGAAGUUUAUGAUUUUUCUCUGUGUUCUUGAAGGUAGACGGGUUCCUGUCGUCACAGCUGCAAUGGUUGUUGAGCUCCGCAAAAUUUACACAUGGAACUGGUUGACGAAUGAAGAUUUCAACACAUGGUCCAACGCACGUGAGUUCAUAGAGGAAGCUGUCAAGAAAUUUACCAAGAAGUGCAAGUGA